rnacentral:rRNA from 1 species
GACGAACGCUGGCGGCGUGCUUAACACAUGCAAGUCGAACGGAAAGGCCCCUUCGGGGGUGCUCGAGUGGCGAACGGGUGAGUAACACGUGGGUGAUCUGCCCUGCACUUUGGGAUAAGCCUGGGAAACUGGGUCUAAUACCGGAUAGGACUACGGCCUGCAUGGGUUGUGGUGGAAAGCUUUUGCGGUGUGGGAUGGGCCCGCGGCCUAUCAGCUUGUUGGUGGGGUGAUGGCCUACCAAGGCGACGACGGGUAGCCGGCCUGAGAGGGUGUCCGGCCACACUGGGACUGAGAUACGGCCCAGACUCCUACGGGAGGCAGCAGUGGGGAAUAUUGCACAAUGGGCGCAAGCCUGAUGCAGCGACGCCGCGUGAGGGAUGACGGCCUUCGGGUUGUAAACCUCUUUCAGCAUCGACGAAGCGCAAGUGACGGUAGAUGCAGAAGAAGCACCGGCCAACUACGUGCCAGCAGCCGCGGUAAUACGUAGGGUGCGAGCGUUGUCCGGAAUUACUGGGCGUAAAGAGCUCGUAGGUGGUUUGUCGCGUUGUUCGUGAAAACUCACAGCUUAACUGUGGGCGUGCGGGCGAUACGGGCAGACUGGAGUACUGCAGGGGAGACUGGAAUUCCUGGUGUAGCGGUGGAAUGCGCAGAUAUCAGGAGGAACACCGGUGGCGAAGGCGGGUCUCUGGGCAGUAACUGACGCUGAGGAGCGAAAGCGUGGGGAGCGAACAGGAUUAGAUACCCUGGUAGUCCACGCCGUAAACGGUGGGUACUAGGUGUGGGUUUCCUUCCUUGGGAUCCGUGCCGUAGCUAACGCAUUAAGUACCCCGCCUGGGGAGUACGGCCGCAAGGCUAAAACUCAAAGGAAUUGACGGGGGCCCGCACAAGCGGCGGAGCAUGUGGAUUAAUUCGAUGCAACGCGAAGAACCUUACCUGGGUUUGACAUGCACAGGACGCACCUAGAGAUAGGUGUUCCCUUGUGGCCUGUGUGCAGGUGGUGCAUGGCUGUCGUCAGCUCGUGUCGUGAGAUGUUGGGUUAAGUCCCGCAACGAGCGCAACCCUUGUCUCAUGUUGCCAGCGCGUUAUGGCGGGGACUCGUGAGAGACUGCCGGGGUCAACUCGGAGGAAGGUGGGGAUGACGUCAAGUCAUCAUGCCCCUUAUGUCCAGGGCUUCACACAUGCUACAAUGGCCGGUACAAAGGGCUGCGAUGCCGUGAGGUGGAGCGAAUCCUUUCAAAGCCGGUCUCAGUUCGGAUCGGGGUCUGCAACUCGACCCCGUGAAGUCGGAGUCGCUAGUAAUCGCAGAUCAGCAACGCUGCGGUGAAUACGUUCCCGGGCCUUGUACACACCGC